rnacentral:lncRNA from 14 species
GGCCCAUGAGUAUACCAGCUGCAGGAGAGCCGGAAGCCACAGUGAUCCUUCACCCGGUGUCUUGGAGCAGAGCCCUCUCCACGCACAGCCCCUCAAGGACUCCUUGGGGCACUAUGGGGACCAGCAGACCCCACCGAGUUAUCCCACAGAGGAGCUCAGAAAUGAUGCUGGGAGCGAAGCAGCUCAGCUUGUCCCCCAUGAAGCCAAUGCUCUCUGCAGUGAUGCCGGGUGAUGAGGCUGACUCUGAUGGGUCAGACCUGGACUCGCUGGAGGAAACAGCUGGUUCAGGGACAGCCACGUCCAGGAUGGUGAGGCUUUUGGAGAGACGCCUGGAUGCAGUGGCACAGGGACGGCCCAGCAGGGUGAAACUCUUCCCAGCUGGGAGCUCGGCAUCCCCCAGUACUGGCCGGCCCACCAAGAAACUCAAGGAUUUCAGUGGAGGUAAGGAAAUGAAAACUGAUGCCGGAAGAUCAGAAAUAAACUGAGAGCAAGAAUUCCUGCUACAGCUCUGCUUCAGCUCUCUGCCACCCUCCAUAAUGCUCCUGCCUGCAAUCUUGUCAUCUACACACUUGCACACAUCACAGUGAAACCGAGAGAUAGCUGACUCGGUGAGUUUGUCAGAGUAUCUGUGUUGCAUAUAAAAUA